UAGUCCACGCCGUAAACGAUGUCAACUAGCUGUUAAAUUCCAGAUUUAGUGGCGUAGCUAACGCGUUAAGUUGACCGCCUGGGAAGUACGGCCGCAAGGUUAAAACUCAAAUGAAUUGACGGGGACCCGCACAAGCGGUGGAGCAUGUGGUUUAAUUCGAUGCAACGCGAAAAACCUUACCUACUCUUGACAUCUUCGGAAAGUUUCGUAAUGAAACUGUGCCUUCGGGAACCGAAUGACAGGUGUUGCAUGGCUGUCGUCAGCUCGUGUUGUGAAAUGUUGGGUUAAGUCCCGUAACGAGCGCAACCCUCGUCCUUAGCUGCUAACAUUAAGUUGAGAACUUUAGGGAGACCGCCAGUGAUAAAUUGGAGGAAGGAGAGGACGACGUCAAGUCAUCAUGGCCCUUACGAGUAGGGCUACACACGUGCUACAAUGGUUGGUACAAAGGGUUGCCAAAGCGCAAGCUGGAGCUAAUCUCAUAAAGCCAAUCGUAGUCCGGAUUAGAGUCUGCAACUCGACUCUA
rnacentral:rRNA from 1 species